rnacentral:tRNA from 1 species
GGUGGCUCAAUGGUAGAGCGCUGGCCUCGCAUGCACGAGGCCCUGGGUUCGAUUCCCCAGCACCA